rnacentral:rRNA from 1 species
UACAGAGGGUGCGAGCGUUGUUCGGAAUUAUUGGGCGUAAAGGGCGCGUAGGCGGUGCCACAAGUCACUUGUGAAAUCCCCAGGCUUAACCUGGGGCCUGCAGGCGAAACUGUGGUGCUGGAGUGUGGGAGAGGUGCGUGGAAUUCCCGGUGUAGCGGUGAAUGCGUAGAUAUCGGGAGGAACACCUGUGGCGAAAGCGGCGCACUGGACCAUAACUGACGCUGAGGCGCGAAAGCUAGGGGAGCAAACAGG